AUGCCAGAGUUAAUUUUUAUGUAUUUUUAUUUAUUUGAUUAUAUUGAAAAACUCAUAUUAUUUAAAUGUAUGCAUUAGAAUUAAUUAUAGUUUACAGAAUGUAAUACAUUUUAAUAUUAUUAAAUGUAAUUAGUUUUUUCUUAGUAAAAUGGUUUAAAUAAAAAAGGCUGUAAAACAAACAAGAUUCUGUUAUUUAAAAUUUAUGUGAUUUGUUUAAAUACAAGUUAUGAAAAGUGAAUUUGGGAAACCGGAAACAAUGUCUUGCACUUCCUCUGCACACCCGCCCGCUCUCAGGAGUAGCAUCGUAGCGUUCUCCAUGUGAUGGUAAGUGUAACAUUCUCUCCAAGGGGUGUCUUGUAUGUACAUAAAGAUUUUUUUUUUUUGCCAUAGGGUGUCGAGUGCUUGCGUUUGUGAUAACAUUUUGUAGUUUGUGUUUAUUUUAUGCAGUUAUAUCCUGGCUACGUAGCUUUACAGGACAAUGCUGUUUCCCGCUAGCAUUAUAGCUAAUAAGCUAGCUAUUUCACAGCAUCUUCGCUAGCUUGGCUAUCCAGCUUAAUACUGGAUUAAACGAACCCUUGGCAGUUGUAACCGUCAUGUUAUCAUGGCGGGUAAAAGGACAAAUAUUAAAAUCAUUAGUUAAGCAAACAUUAUUUUUGUCCACAACAUUUAACCUAAUAAAUUUGUAACAAGUUAGCCUCUGCUCUGUAGCAUUAACUUACAGUUUGUUUAAAGUUAAAUUUGACAACUUUGAGGGGUUGUUUUGGAAGGAGCAGACUUGUUACCUUUUGGCAAAAUUUUUGCAGUUUUAAUGCAAAAUAUGGCACUUCUGUGAUUCAUACUAAGCAAUUAAACUUAUUUUUUCUUUUCACAUAUGUUCUUGUUUUCAGAUAGCUAACUCUUUUUCUGCAUUCUCCUCCAAUCUCGUGUUCUCACCUUCAUGUGGCAACAUAUAUUUUUCAUUAGGCCUACAAAGUCAGAUCUUUGACAAUCAGGAGGCAGGAGGUUCUCCAGGAGCCACCAAUUCCAGAGUUCCAAAGCAGAUGGGCAGCACUGUUUGAUGUCAGCGAGGUAAGUGUGAAUCUGAAGUGUAAUAACUUGGUCUAUUUUACAAACUGUUAAAAUCUCUAUCCUGUCUGUGUUGUCUUCUACAGAUUAACUUGGAGUUUAUGCGACUGACAACUAUACCUCUGACCUUCAAAUUCCUUGGGGAACUGGACCGUCAGACCGACAACCUGAUGAAGGUUUUUAAUUCCAAAGGUGGAGCAGCAGGAAGAAAGAUGGCAGCCAUAAUGGCCCAGAUGGAUAAUAAUGAAGACAUCAACGUGAGGCAAGAUUGUGUGCUGAGCUGUCUCAGCAUCUACCUCAAUGAAAACCUGGACACACUGGUCAAAGAACACGUGGUAUGCAUGCCAGCCUACUGUGCUUUUGGCCAGAUGUAAUUCAUUUCUAUCUAGACAUACCUGAUAACAUGUGGCGUUCAUGAGAAUGGGAUGGAAAUGGGGAUACAUUGACCUUGACCUAACCAAAUGAAAAAUUCCCCCAAUGCAAGUGGUGGUAGAACUUUCCCUUUGUAGGAAGUAAAUCCACUUGGUUGAGAGGAUAAAGGUGGAUGGGCCCUGGCACCUAUACGCCCCAGGGAUGACACCUCUCACCUAAACAACAAGGUGAGGACACAGACGCUUGACUGUUCUUAUGACCCAGCAGUUUUAAUUGUAUUGACAUAGAUUUUUGGAAGUGUUUAGCAAGAAAUGCCUUUCAGAUAAUGUCAGGUCAUGUUGAUUCUUGGUUGUGAUCAGUUGGUUACUACUGUGUUUGUUUGGGAAGCAUCAUAGGAUACAUGCUGUGGACUGUCUGCUUAUGAACUCCAGCGUCUUGAGAACAUCAUACAGAAGGAAGCCUUCUUGUCUUCUUUGAAGAUAUGUGAAGUAUGUGGACAUGUUCAUUGGAAUUCUAACAAGUAUAAGACUGAUCAGACGUUCUCCAUUUAACUCAGUCUUCCCCUCACACGUUUUGUGUCUCCACCCGACUCCUCUUGGUGUGUCUUCUUCUCUCCCCCCAGUUCUUUCACUGUUGUCCCCUACUGUCCUCUCCCUCUCUCCUUCUGUAUCUUAACUUCUGUCAUACUCACUUAUCUCAAUAGUAACUUCACGAAUACAUUGAGAAUGGGAUUUUAUAAAGGUGUCAAAUUAAGUCUUAAUGGGUUAUUUUAAUUUUUUUCUUCAAUGUAGUUUAGAAAGAUAAUGUAAUUUCUGUCUUCCACCAUAUGCAUACCUUGCUGUCUGUGGAGAGGAAAAUGGGAUAAUAGUUUUUCUCUUUCAAAAGGCAUCUGAGGAUCUAAGGCAGCCUGUAAAGCCAAAGUCAGAAGUCAAGAGGUAAGUCAUAAAGUAGUGUAGUAGGAAGCAUGAUUUGUUUCACGUGCAUUAUUCCAAUGAGGAGGGAGCGAGAGAGAGAGAGCUAGAAAGAGAGUGAGAGCUAGAGAGAGAGAGAGAGAGAGAGAAUCCCUAAAACAGCUUAGAAGAGAAAGGAGGUAAAUAGAAGUAGCAGAGGCUAUAGGAAAGGGUGAGGAUGUUGGAAAGGUUUGCCUCCUUCAGUCCAUUUUCCCAGCAUCAACAACCAGUUCCUGUUUGGGUCUUACAGCCACUGGCUCCGUAUUUAUAUCACUGAUCUCUGAACAAAAUCAGUGAGGGUUCUUGGUUCUGUAUUUUCAUAUCUCUGUGCAUUUUUAGUUUGUGUUUUAUUGACAGAUUUUUUUAUGGCAGGUCAAAGGCUUCAUUGGGAAAAGAGCAGUGUCCCUGGAAAUCCCUCCUUCUUAACGAAGCGCAGAACCUUACCCUCAGCAGAGAAUCAACCCAUAAACACGUGAGAACAAGAGUACUACUUCAAAAGAUUUGUCUCAGAUUUUAAUUGUUGUCACCUUGAUGGAAAAAAAUGGCACAGUUUGAAAGUUGGGGUGUGAAUAGUCAACACAAAAUGCAUCCUUAUGACUAUUUUUCCCCCCAGGCUUUUAGGUGGUGAUCAGAGGUCUUAAGGUCAUUGUUACCAUGAUCUUGCAUCCAUCUCAUUCUCAUGAACGCAUGUAUGCAGUGCUUUAUUUUCAAAUUAACACUCAGUUGGCCUAAGGAUGAGCUGCUUACAUUUUGGGAGUCCAGGUUAAGGUCACACAACUAAUUGUUCUGUUCUUUUUAUGUUUCAGGACAUUGAUUCCAGAGAGGCUGAGGCAGACAAUACAGAGAAGACAAUGGGCAUCUACACAGUCCAAGCAGAGGGUCAUGGUCCUGAUGGUCCAGGUGAUGGACGCUUUGCUGAUGUUGGUGUUGUGCUGGAAGGUGUGGAAGUUCUCCAUAGCCUGCAGAGUGUCAGCCAUGCAUGCGUGAUGCUUUAUGGACUGAUCUAUGCACUCAACUUGAGCUAUCCAAAAAACCUGAAGCGUACAUUCGAGGUGUACCAGAAAAUACUGAUGGACCUGGACUCAACCAAACUGUCACCAAAAGUGCAGACACUGAAACUCAAAUUGCUCGAGUGAUAUGGCUGACGGUAAUGCACUUACACAGCCCCUACAUAAUGUGUCUCAUGUUAUUUCCCAGUCAGACUGGAUCUUGUGCUGAAUUGAAUCCCUUAGUUCUUAAAGGGUGUGUCAGGAAAAUUCCUGUUUGAUUAUUGUGUGUCUGUAAAGUUGGGUUUUUCUUUUUGUCUCCAAGCCUUUAACAGGGAAAUGUAUCAGUGUGGCUUUGUAGGUGGGUUCAUAGAUGGGUAGUUUCUAAAGUGAGUUGGCUGGCAAUGUUGUUCCCAAAACUCAAACCAGAUUUUUUUGAAUUGUUUAUAAAUUCAGUAGACACUAGUUAAGUGUUCAAAAAGAUAUUUGUUCUAAAAAAGUGCUUCAGUUCAUACCAAAGCCAGUUUUUCUAAUAUUGAAUGGAAACUAUGGCCAUAGUUAAACAUAGGGACUUAUUUUGAAUGAAACCUGUCAAACGUAGUUAUGAUGGAAAAAUCACUUUAAGAUAAGGGGUAUAGCUUCAAUUGACGUUUUCGUUAUGUAUUUAAAUAAAAGCUUGACGUGUACAUUCAUAAUAAGGCCCUAUGUUGUAUUAUUACAACAUAGAAAACAAAGCAGCUAAACAAAACUGAACAGACUGAAAGACCACAAGUAGAGAGUAUGUGUGGUGUAGAUGGGCAGUUUAGCACUUUGCUCUGAUGAGCUGAAUUACCUGACAUUUUCUAGAUUUUUUUUUAACUUGUUAGUAUUUUUUUCCUCAUGUUUAAUUCAUUAGGUUAUUUCUACAGUUUAGUCACUCAUGUAGUACUCUGGAUGGAGAAAAAUAUGGAUGGGGGGCAAUGGAGAGGAGUGAGACGUAUUAGAAAGAUGGAAGUGUUUGAAUUUUUUUUUAUUAAUACAUGUACAAAGUGGACCACAAGGAUACGUUCUGUCCUUUUGAGUUUCAUGUCAUGGAUGUUGAGAGGCUUUAAUGCUAAUCAUUGUACAUCAUCAUUGUACUAAAUGAAAAAUAAUUAAAUAAAUAUGAUGCAUUUUGAAUGGUGUUGUUGAUUACAUAAGCAUAAAUGGCAUGUAAUUCAAAUAAAUAUAAGCUAUUUACCUGGCAUAGGUAACCUAAUUUUUAUGCAUUUCAAACAAUAUUAUUUAUGUAUUUG